GUGUCAGCAGCCGCGGUAAAACGUAGGAGGCAAGCGUUAUCCGGAUUUACUGGGCGUAAAGCGCGUGCAGGCGGCGAGGCAAGUUGGAUGUGAAAGCUCCCGGCUCAACUGGGAGAGGUCGUUCAAGACUGCCUGGCUAGAGGAUGGUAGAGGGAGGUGGAAUUCCGGGUGUAGUGGUGAAAUGCGUAGAUAUCCGGAGGAACACCAGUGGCGAAAGCGGCCUUCUGGACCAAUCCUGACGCUCAGACGCGAAAGCUAGGGUAGCAAACGGGAUUAGAGACCCCGGUAGUCCUAGCCGUAAACCAUGUAGACUUGGCGUCGGUGGGUUCAAAUCCAUCGGUGCCGCAGCUAACGCGAUAAGUCUACCGCCUGGGGACUACGGCCGCAAGGUUAAA
rnacentral:rRNA from 1 species